CCAAGCGUCACUGAGUCUUUCUAAUCUUCCUUUUCUACAGAUCUAUCUGACCUCUCCCCUCCUGGCCAGGCUGAGACCUUCUUGGCUUAGCAGCUGAAGACUGAAGCUGCCCGAUCGCCUCAGAAUCCCCCUAGACCAUCACGGACGCCAAGCUUCGGGUAACUCUCACAGUGGAAGACAGGAAUGUCAGGCCUCUGAGCCCAAGCUAAGCCAUCAUAUCCCCUGUGACCUGCACGUGCACAUCCAGAUGGCCGGUUCCUGCCUUAACUGAUGACAUUCCACCAUAAAAGAAGUGAAAAUGGCCUGUUCCUGCCUUAACUGAUGACAUCGUCUUGUGAAAUUCCUUCUUCUGGCUCAUCCUGGCUCAAAAGCUCCCCUACUGAGCACCUUGUGACCCCCACUCUGCCCGCCAGAGAACAACCCCCCUUUGAAUGUAAUUUUCCUUUACGUACCCAAAUUCUAUAAAACGGCCCCACCCCAUCUCCCUUCGCUGACUCUCUUUUCGGACUCAACUCACCUGCACCCAGGUGAAAUAAACAGCUUUAUUGCUCACACAAA
rnacentral:lncRNA from 1 species